UAACUGGGCGUUAAGUUGCAGGGUAUAGACCCGAAACCCGGUGAUCUAGCCAUGGGCAGGUUGAAGGUUGGGUAACACUAACUGGAGGACCGAACCGACUAAUGUUGAAAAAUUAGCGGAUGACUUGUGGCUGGGGGUGAAAGGCCAAUCAAACCGGGAGAUAGCUGGUUCUCCCCGAAAGCUAUUUAGGUAGCGCCUCGUGAAUUCAUCUCCGGGGGUAGAGCACUGUUUCGGCAAGGGGGUCAUCCCGACUUACCAACCCGAUGCAAACUGCGAAUACCGGAGAAUGUUAUCACGGGAGACACACGGCGGGUGCUAACGUCCGUCGUGAAGAGGGAAACAACCCAGACCGCCAGCUAAGGUCCCAAAGUCAUGGUUAAGUGGGAAACGAUGUGGGAAGGCCCAGACAGCCAGGAUGUUGGCUUAGAAGCAGCCAUCAUUUAAAGAAAGCGUAAUAGCUCACUGGUCGAGUCGGCCUGCGCGGAAGAUGUAACGGGGCUAAACCAUGCACCGAAGCUGCGGCAGCGACACUAUGUGUUGUUGGGUAGGGGAGCGUUCUGUAAGCCUGUGAAGGUGUACUGUGAGGUAUGCUGGAGGUAUCAGAAGUGCGAAUGCUGACAUAAGUAACGAUAAAGCGGGUGAAAAGCCCGCUCGCCGGAAGACCAAGGGUUCCUGUCCAACGUUAAUCGGGGCAGGGUGAGUCGACUCCUAAGGCGAGGCCGAAAGGCGUAGUCGAUGGGAAACAGGUUAAUAUUCCUGUACUUGGUGUUACUGCGAAGGGGGGACGGAGAAGGCUAUGUUGGCCGGGCGACGGUUGUCCCGGUUUAAGCGUGUAGGCUGGUUUUCCAGGCAAAUCCGGAAAACUAAGGCUGAGGCGUGAUGACGAGGCACUACGGUGCUGAAGCAACAAAUGCCCUGCUUCCAGGAAAAGCCUCUAAGCAUCAGGUAACAUCAAAUCGUACCCCAAACCGACACAGGUGGUCAGGUAGAGAAUACCAAGGCGCUUGAGAGAACUCGGGUGAAGGAACUAGGCAAAAUGGUGCCGUAACUUCGGGAGAAGGCACGCUGAUAUGUAGGUGAAGUCCCUCGCGGAUGGAGCUGAAAUCAGUCGAAGAUACCAGCUGGCUGCAACUGUUUAUUAAAAACACAGCACUGUGCAAACACGAAAGUGGACGUAUACGGUGUGACGCCUGCCCGGUGCCGGAAGGUUAAUUGAUGGGGUCAGCGCAAGCGAAGCUCUUGAUCGAAGCCCCGGUAAACGGCGGCCGUAACUAUAACGGUCCUAAGGUAGCGAAAUUCCUUGUCGGGUAAGUUCCGACCUGCACGAAUGGCGUAAUGAUGGCCAGGCUGUCUCCACCCGAGACUCAGUGAAAUUGAACUCGCUGUGAAGAUGCAGUGUACCCGCGGCAAGACGGAAAGACCCCGUGAACCUUUACUAUAGCUUGACACUGAACAUUGAGCCUUGAUGUGUAGGAUAGGUGGGAGGCUUUGAAGUGUGGACGCCAGUCUGCAUGGAGCCGACCUUGAAAUACCACCCUUUAAUGUUUGAUGUUCUAACGUUGACCCGUAAUCCGGGUUGCGGACAGUGUCUGGUGGGUAGUUUGACUGGGGCGGUCUCCUCCUAAAGAGUAACGGAGGAGCACGAAGGUUGGCUAAUCCUGGUCGGACAUCAGGAGGUUAGUGCAAUGGCAUAAGCCAGCUUGACUGCGAGCGUGACGGCGCGAGCAGGUGCGAAAGCAGGUCAUAGUGAUCCGGUGGUUCUGAAUGGAAGGGCCAUCGCUCAACGGAUAAAAGGUACUCCGGGGAUAACAGGCUGAUACCGCCCAAGAGUUCAUAUCGACGGCGGUGUUUGGCACCUCGAUGUCGGCUCAUCACAUCCUGGGGCUGAAGUAGGUCCCAAGGGUAUGGCUGUUCGCCAUUUAAAGUGGUACGCGAGCUGGGUUUAGAACGUCGUGAGACAGUUCGGUCCCUAUCUGCCGUGGGCGCUGGAGAACUGAGGGGGGCUGCUCCUAGUACGAGAGGACCGGAGUGGACGCAUCACUGGUGUUCGGGUUGUCAUGCCAAUGGCACUGCCCGGUAGCUAAAUGCGGAAGAGAUAAGUGCUGAAAGCAUCUAAGCACGAAACUUGCCCCGAGAUGAGUUCUCCCUGACUCCUUGAGAGUCCUGAAGGAACGUU
rnacentral:rRNA from 1 species